GGCUGGUUGGUCUAGGGCUAUGAUUCUCACUUAGGGUGCAAGAGGUCCUGGUUCAAAUCCCAGAGGAGCCC
rnacentral:tRNA from 1 species